GACGAACGCUGGCGGCGUGCUUAACACAUGCAAGUCGAACGGAAAGGCCCUGCUUUUGUGGGGUGCUCGAGUGGCGAACGGGUGAGUAACACGUGAGUAACCUGCCCUUGACUUUGGGAUAACUUCAGGAAACUGGGGCUAAUACCGGAUAGGAGCUCCUGCUGCAUGGUGGGGGUUGGAAAGUUUCGGCGGUUGGGGAUGGACUCGCGGCUUAUCAGCUUGUUGGUGGGGUAGUGGCUUACCAAGGCUUUGACGGGUAGCCGGCCUGAGAGGGUGACCGGCCACAUUGGGACUGAGAUACGGCCCAGACUCCUAGGGGAGGCAGAAGUGGGGAUUAUUGCACAAUGGGCGGAAGCCUGAUGCAGCAACGCCGCGUGCGGGAUGACGGCCUUCGGGUUGUAAACCGCUUUCGCCUGUGACGAAGCGUGAGUGACGGUAAUGGGUAAAGAAGCACCGGCUAACUACGUG
rnacentral:rRNA from 1 species